rnacentral:rRNA from 1 species
GCGCCCUACGGGGGGCAGCAGUGGGGAAUAUUGCACAAUGGGGGGAACCCUGAUGCAGCGACGCCGCGUGGGCGAGGAAGUAUUUCGGUAUGUAAAGCCCUAUCGGCAGGGAAGAAGAAAUGACGGUACCUGAAUAAGAAGCACCGGCUAAAUACGUGCCAGCAGCCGCGGUAAUACGUAUGGUGCAAGCGUUAUCCGGAUUUACUGGGCGUAAAGGGAGCGCAGGCGGCGCGCCAAGUCUGAUGUGAAACCCCGGGGCUCAACCCCCGGCCUGCCUUGGAAACUGGGUG